rnacentral:lncRNA from 1 species
CAGAGGCAAUUCUCCCUGGAAGGCAGGAAUCCCACCAUGGAGAAUCAACAUGUGGCCAAUCACUGUUCUUUAUGAAUGUACUUCCUUCGGGUCUCUGGAAAAAUUGUAGAGAAAUUAUCAGUCCUUCACCUGACUUUAAAGGACCCUUCAGUUUGUAGAAGGGGCUCAGAAAAAGAGCUGAUGCAGGUCUUGGCACUGUGCCAGUCAUAGAUGAAGGUGAGAGUGAAUAUGCCUGUUUUGGAACUUCCUUUAUUUUGUUUGCAUAUCCCCUUCAAAACAUUCUCCAUUUAUUACCUCUGGAAGUCAGAAUAGAGAACUAUUUAAAAGAUCCAUCCGUGUUGCUUAAGCUCUGUGUUCCCAUAAAAUAGCUGGAUCUGAGCCUAAAAUAUGGAUUUUUAAAAAUCCACUAUGGAUGUCUGCUUGGACUAAAAUGACAAUACAUUUCUUGGGGGAAAAAUAGAUAGCGGCAGAAAGCCUCCUCUGAUCUGCCAAAGAACAAAAAUGGCACCCAAACCCUUUUGUCUAAAAACAUGAUGUCUU